rnacentral:rRNA from 1 species
UACGAAUGGGGCAAGCGUUGUUCGGAAUCACUGGGCGUAAAGCGUGCGUAGGCGGUUUAACAAGUCAGAAGUGAAAGCCCAGGGCUCAACCCUGGAAUUGCUUUUGAAACUGUUAGACUAGAGACUCGGAGAGGUUGGCAGAAUUCCCAGUGUAGAGGUGAAAUUCGCAGAUAUUGGGAGGAAUACCAGUGGCGUAAGCGGCCAACUGGACGAGUACUGACGCUGAGGCACGAAAGCGUGGGGAUCAAACAGG